rnacentral:rRNA from 1 species
UACGUAGGGGUCGAGCGUUGUCCGGAGUUACUGGGCGUAAAGCGUGUGCAGGCGGCUCAUUGCGCCCGGCGUGAAAGCCCCCGGCUCAACCGGGGAGAGUCGUCGGGGACGGGUGAGCUUGAGGGUAUCAGGGGCUGGUGGAAUUCCCGGUGUAGCAGUGAAAUGCGUAGAGAUCGGGAGGAACACCAGUGGCGAAGGCGGCCUUCUGGACCAGUACUGACGCUCAUGCACGAAAGCGUGGGGAGCAAACAGG